rnacentral:lncRNA from 1 species
CCAUGAAAUGCAACACAUCACAAACAUAUCACAUAAGGAUGGUAUUGUCACCUGUAGUCCUCAACAUAGUCCAAUCGUGCCAGGGGCGUAGAAUGGGCCUCACUGGUCUUUCUCUUACAUACAUAACAUAACAUAACAUUCCAAUAUGCCAGGGGCGUAGAAUGGGCCUCACUGGCAAUCCAUACCGUAUCAUCAUCAUAUCAUACCAUAGGAGGACUAGAGGAUCAUCCAAUAGCCAAUCCGCAUCCACAUCAUAUUAUGCAAUGCAACAUAUUCGUGAAUACUAAUGCAAACAACCUAAAAUAUCACAUGGCAUAUAUGAUGCAUGAACAUGCUCCAAAAAGUUAUAUUUCAUUUAUUUAAAAACUUAAGGUUCAUUCCACUCACUCUGGCUGAAGCUCCACAGACUCUGAAGCAGCUAUCUCACUGCUGAGGUCCUCGGUUCCUCGGGUCCGAACCUACACAGGUGGACUCCAAUGAGGGACCAAAUAUACAUAAACAUAACUCUAAUAAACUCCCCAAAAACCCCCUAAAACAUCAGGAAAACAUCACAUAGAAAUAUGCAUGAAAUGGCUGAACAGGGCACUUUCGGCGGCACCUUCGGCGGCCGAAAGUCCUGGACAGAUCCGAAAGUCGGGCACUUUCGGCGGCACCUUCGGCGGCCGAAAGUCCCAGACAGAGACGAAAGUCUCUUUUCGGGGGCAACUUCGGCAGCCGAAUGCUGCCUCCACAAAGGGGGUUCGGCGGCCGAAACUCCCUUCGGCUGCCGAACCUGGUUUCUGCCAAAGGGCAGAAACUUGAUUCAAACGAACCUCUUGCCUCCCAAAACCUCUAAUCAUGCAUAAUCUUGCUCUACAACAUGCAUACUUCACAUACAUUACACCUAGGGGUCUCAAAC